rnacentral:snoRNA from 1 species
UUUUAAUGAUGAUAUUUAAUUUAUUAUCUAAAGUAAACUGUUGAUAAUAUACACGAGCUUUUUAACACUGACUAAAU